rnacentral:lncRNA from 1 species
ACUACAAAUCCCCUCCUCCUCCUUCGCCGGUCUACUAUUACAAAUCCCCGCCUCCACCACCAUACUAUUACAAGUCCCCACCUCCACCUCCGCCUAAGUAUUACUACAAGUCGCCCCCACCACCGUCUCCAUACUAUUACAAAUCCCCGCCCCCUCCACCGUACUAUUACAAAUCCCCACCACCACCUCCCUACAAAUACGAAUCGCCGCCGCCUCCUCCUUACAAAUACGAGUCCCCACCUCCACCACCUUACUAUUACAAGUCCCCACCACCACCUCCAUACAAAUAUGAAUCCCCGCCACCUCCAGUCUACAAAUAUGAGUCUCCGCCACCCCCAGUUUACAAAUACAAGUCGCCACCACCACCAUACAAGUACGAGUCACCACCACCACCUCCAUACAAGUAUGAAUCCCCGCCACCUCCACCUUAUUACUACAAGUCCCCUCCACCACCACCAUACAAGUACGAGUCGCCACCACCUCCUCCGUACAAGUAUGAAUCUCCACCACCACCAGUUUACAAAUACAAGUCACCUCCGCCGCCACCUUAUUACUACAAAUCCCCACCGCCACCUCCAUACAAGUACGAGUCUCCACCUCCUCCUCCGUACAAGUAUGAAUCUCCACCACCACCACCUUAUUACUACAAAUCCCCCCCGCCACCUCCAUACAAGUACGAGUCACCGCCUCCUCCUCCGUACAAGUAUGAAUCUCCACCACCGCCAGUUUACAAAUACAAGUCACCCCCGCCACCACCUUAUUACUACAAAUCCCCGCCACCACCUCCAUACAAGUACGAGUCUCCACCUCCUCCUCCGUACAAGUAUGAAUCUCCACCACCACCUCCUUAUUACUACAAAUCCCCGCCGCCACCUCCCUACAAGUAUGAAUCCCCGCCACCACCUCCCUACAAAUACGAGUCACCUCCACCACCACCUUACUAUUACAAAUCUCCUCCACCGCCUCCAUACAAGUAUGAGUCGCCACCACCACCAGUCUACAAAUACGAGUCUCCGCCACCCCCAGUUUACAAAUACAAGUCGCCCCCUCCACCUUAUUACUACAAGUCUCCGCCACCCCCGCCAUACAAAUAUGAAUCCCCACCUCCACCUCCCUACAAGUAUGAAUCGCCUCCUCCUCCACCUUACUACUACAAGUCCCCUCCACCACCUCCCUACAAAUAUGAAUCCCCGCCACCACCUCCCUAUAAAUACGAGUCACCACCACCACCACCUUACUAUUACAAAUCUCCUCCACCGCCUCCAUACAAGUAUGAGUCGCCACCACCACCUCCCUACAAAUACGAGUCACCACCACCACCACCUUACAAGUAUGAAUCCCCACCUCCACCUCCGUACAAGUAUGAAUCACCUCCACCGCCUCCAUACAAGUAUGAAUCCCCUCCUCCACCUCCCUACAAAUACGAGUCACCACCCCCACCACCUUAUUACUACAAAUCGCCUCCGCCACCGGAGUAUCAAUCAC